rfam:Dipodomys ordii contig_11315, whole genome shotgun sequence.
GCGAAGAUGGCUCAGUGGUAGAGCGCUUGCCUUGCAUGCAUGAGGCCCUGGAUUCUAUUUCCUCAGCACC